rnacentral:rRNA from 1 species
AGCGAACGCUGGCGGUAGGCCUAACACAUGCAAGUCGAACGGCAGCACAGUAAGAGCUUGCUCAUACGGGCGGCGAGUGGCGGACGGUUGAGGAAUACACCGGAAUCUACUUUUUCGUGGGGGAUAACGUAGGGAAACUUACGCUAAUACCGCAUACGACCUACGGGUGAAAGCAGGGGUUCUUCGGACCUUGCGCGAUUGAAUGAGCCGAUCUCGGAUUAGCUAGUUGGCGGGCUAAAGGCCCACCAAGGCGACGAUCCGUAGCUGGUCUGAGAGGAUGAUCCGCCACAUGGGAAGAGAGACACGGUCCAGACUCCUGCGGGAGGCAACAGUGGAGAAUAUUAGACAAUGGGGGCGAGCCUGAUCCAGCCAUACCGCGUAGGUGAUGAUGGCGUUCGGGUGGGAAAGCCCUUUUGUUGGGAGAGAAAAGCAGCAGGUUAAUACCCCGCUAUACUGACGGUACCCGAAGAAUAAGCACCGGCUAACUUCGUG